rnacentral:lncRNA from 1 species
GCCACAGGGACAGAAGAAGCAGUGGGACUUGGCUUCAUGGCCAUUAGCCAGUUCAUUUUUACCUCCUACACCAUUUGGGUAAUUCUUUCAGCAUUCAUUGACAGCCAGCACGUCAACCACUGUGCUCAUCCCAUUAUUCCUGCUGCUCCCGUUUGUGGGAUUGUUCAUCACGUGUGUGAUGCUGAAGAGCCAGAGGGUGACCAAGAAGGCCCAAUGA